UACGUAGGUGGCAAGCGUUGUUCGGAAUUAUUGGGCGUAAAGGGCGCGUAGGCGGUUUGUUAAGUCAGCUGUGAAAGCCCGGGGCUCAACCCCGGAGAGUCGACUGAUACUGGCAGACUAGAGUACGGAAGAGGUAGCUGGAAUUCCCGGUGUAGCGGUGAAAUGCGUAGAUAUCAGGAGGAACACCGGUGGCGAAGGCGGCAUUCUGGACCGACAUUGACGCUGAGGAGCGAAAGCCAGGGGAGCAAACGGG
rnacentral:rRNA from 1 species